rnacentral:ribozyme from 1 species
UGCCCAGCAACUCCUAUCCUUACCUCCUCGCGGUACUGGCCGGGGUACGAGUAACCUUAGGGAAGAUCGCGUAACCAACCCCGGUUGGGAACUAUGGUCGUAUGCUGACAGGGAAGG